GGCUGGCGGCCAGAGUUCCCACUGGGGAUGGUGCAGGGAGCGCCAGAGCUCCGGGCUGCGGGCGCUACGCUGCUAGGUCCUCGCCGUGUCAACACCCACGCGGGCCAGUCCGCCGGAAGUGUGCGGGACGGGCGAGCACGGAAAGGGUCUAAAUGACGGUCAGGGGUGGUGAUCCGUGGAGGGUGCCAACUAACAGGUGAAGAGGACAGACCACGAUAGGUGCAAAGCCCUUCACCUUGCAGAAGAGAAGACUUGAGAUCCAGAAUAUCAUGGAUGUGACUUUGCUCCCAAAUAAUUUUGGAGUGUUUGGGUCUUGAGGCACAGAUUCCUUGUCAUCUGUCAACAUCCACCCUCCUUUUCUUCCUUAGUAAUAGAGCCCCCAAAUUUUAGCUGGGCCUACUGCUGCCCAGGACAAAGAAGAACAAUUUCCAGCCUCCCUUUCCAUCAGCUGUGGGCCUAUGUUUAACUUAUCAAUGGUCUGUAAACUGUAUGUUGCAAUUAUUUGCUGAAAUGUCUAAAAUACAGUCUUAAUGUUUACAACUUGUAUAUUUGAAUAAUAAUGAAGCAUUUUCACAUUGA